GAUGAACGCUGGCGGCGUGCCUAAUACAUGCAAGUCGAGCGAACAGACGAGGAGCUUGCUCCUCUGACGUUAGCGGCGGACGGGUGAGUAACACGUGGAUAACCUACCUAUAAGACUGGGAUAACUUCGGGAAACCGGAGCUAAUACCGGAUAAUAUAUUGAACCGCAUGGUUCAAUAGUGAAAGACGGUUUUGCUGUCACUUAUAGAUGGAUCCGCGCCGCAUUAGCUAGUUGGUAAGGUAACGGCUUACCAAGGCAACGAUGCGUAGCCGACCUGAGAGGGUGAUCGGCCACACUGGACCUGAGACACGGUCCAGACUCUUACGGGAGGCAGCAGUAGGGAAUCUUCCGCAAUGGGCGAAAGCCUGACGGAGCAACGCCGCGUGAGUGAUGAAGGUCUUCGGAUCGUAAAACUCUGUUAUUAGGGAAGAACAAAUGUGUAAGUAACUAUGCACGUCUUGACGGUACCUAAUCAGAAAGCCACGGCUAACUACGUG
rnacentral:rRNA from 1 species